UACAGAGGGUGCGAGCGUUAAUCGGAAUUACUGGGCGUAAAGCGCACGUAGGUGGCGACGUAAGUCGGGUGUGAAAGCCCCGGGCUCAACCUGGGAAUUGCAUUCGAGACUGCAUUGCUGGAGUACGGAAGAGGAGGGCGGAAUUCCCGGUGUAGCGGUGAAAUGCGUAGAUAUCGGAAGGAACAUCAGUGGCGAAAGCGACUUCCUGGACCAGUACCGACGUUCAGGCACGAAAGCGUGGGGAGCAAACAGG
rnacentral:rRNA from 1 species